UGGAUUUGGUCUUUAUCCCGGAGUCUGGCACAGAGCUCCUAAAACCUUUGGAACUUCCAGUGAAGAGAGUAAUAAGGGUGUCUUUUGUAAUGAGGUGGCUUUGCGAAGCAUCUCGGUAAUCUGAGGAUAGGGGCUGGGUGCCAGGGGCCCCAAGAGGUAAUUAGAGGUUUAGAACUUCCAGAUCUACAGGAAGGGGAGAGGGGUUGGAGGUUGGAUUAGUCACCAAAGUUUGAUGAUUUAAUCAGUCAUGGCUAUGAAAUGAAGCCUCCAUAAUAACCCCCAAAGGACAGGGCUUGGAGAACUUCCAGGUUGGUGAACACUUGGAGAUUUGGGGAGAGCACUGCCAAGAGAGGGCAUGGAAACUCCCUGCCCCUUCCCCAACCCUUGCCCUGUGCCUCUCUUCCAUCUGGCUGUUCCCCAAUUACAUCAUUUUAUAAGAAACCUAUAAUCCAGUAAAUAAAACGUGUAUCUGAGUUCUGUGAGUCACUCAUUGAACCCAAGGAAGGGGCUGUUGGAUCUGUAGCCAGUUGGUCAGACACACAGGUGACAAUCUGGACUUGAAAUUGGCAUCUGAAGGGGUAGGGGUUGGGGGCAGUCUUGUAGGACCCAACCCUUAACCUGUGUAAUCUGAUGCUGUCUCUGGGUAGACAGUGUCAGGGCUGAGUUGAAUUGUGAUGUCUGAGAAUUGCUUGGGGGGAGGAAAAAAACCCAAACCACAACACUGGAAUUGGGUGCAGAAUCAUUAUCUGCUGUGACAGGGAGGGGAUAGGGAGGCUGGAGGAGGGGUUGGGCCACAGCCUGAAGAGCACCCCAGGUGAGGCCUGUGGGGUAUUAACACCAUUCUGUAGGGAAAAAGAACACAGCACUGGCUGAUACCUGGAAGCCGGUACACACCAGGGUGCGCAGCAGGUUUCUUUUCAAAGUUCAGAAUUGGGCAAAAGAAAAUCAAGAUGGGAAGGAAGAGUUUUUAGGGUCAUGGAAACUUCAAGCUUGAGCUGAGUGGUAUUUGCUCGGGUGAAUGCAUUUGUAAAAAAAUCUACUGAGGCUGCUUUUAAACUCUGUGUCAUUUAUGUAAAAUAAAUCUCAAUAAAAGAAAAAGUGAGUGGGGACU
rnacentral:lncRNA from 1 species